UGAGAAAGAUAACAUUUAACAUAAUAAGAAUGAUGAGAAAGAUAACAUUUAACAUAAUAAGAAUGAUGAGAAAGUUAACAACAUUUAGCAAUCGAUGCCGAGGAACCCACUUAGAGACUAAUAAUGCUUGGAGACGGCUUGAAUGGGUAAUGAAGAAAAACUUUAAUAUAAGUUUAACAUAACAGCAAGUGUCCAAGGUUUUGUACUGUCUCCAAGCAUUAUUAACAUUUAACGUAAUAAGAAUGAUGAGAAAACUAACAACAUUUAACAUAAUAUAAUGAUGAGAAAGUUAACAACAUUUAACAUAAUAGAAUGAUGAGGAAGAUAACAACAUUUAACAUAAUAAGAAUGAUGAGGGAAAGCUAACUAUGUUUAACAUAAUAAGAAUGAUGAGGAAGAUAACAACAUUUAACAUAAUAAGAAUGAUGAGGAAGAUAACAUUUAACAUAAUAAGAAUGAUGAGGAAGAUAACAUUUAACAUAAUAAGAAUGAUGAGGAAGAUAACAACAUUUAACAUAAUAAGAAUGAUGAGGAAGAUAACAACAUUUAACAUAAUAAGAAUGAUGAGAAAGCUAACUAUGUUUAACAUAAUAAGAAUGAUGGCAAA